rnacentral:lncRNA from 1 species
ACGACCUUGGCCGAAUGGCUUGUAGCUCGACUCGCGGAAGCACCAGCCUCCUGGAAAUCAGAGAAAUCAGGCAGUCCCGUGUUUGCCCAUACCAGUGGGAGCAGGAACCAGCCCUGUGUUUUCCUGUGCUCUGGACAAAAUCUGUCCACGAACAGCAGGUCCCUGGGAGAGUCCAGAUGUUUGACAGACUACCACGUGGAAGGCAAAAGGAAGAGUUCAGUUGGUGCCAAGCUCUGAGCGCCAGUGGGAGACUAAGAAAUUUGAAUUACAAAAUCAGCUGGCUGCUGUAAACUGAUAUAGCUCCUUGAAAACUUGAUUUGCUUACCAUACCCCUGGCAUCGACGGCUGUUAACAUGAUCCUUAAAAUCAGAUGACCAAACGUACUGUGGCUUCAGGCUUUAUUUCCUGAGUAAGGUGGAGCAAUUUCUCUGCCCGGAGAAAAGAGAAGGAAUUAGUUAUAGGUUUAAACACGGUAAUGAAUCCAGCCUACCUGGCAAAAAAGACAGCUGAGCUUGGGAAGCAUCACUUGCAUUAGGGCCCCAACCUGUGGUCAUGUUCUCAUCCUCCAGACUAAAUGCUGGCUUAGCUCUGCUGUUUGACAUUGUUUCUGCCCGUCUGGGAAAAGCUAAGGUCUAAUAAAUAUACUGAAGUCAUGAGACUUGUGUAUUAC